AUCCAGCUGAUGAGUCCCAAAUAGGACGAAAAGCGUAUCCUGGAU
rnacentral:hammerhead_ribozyme from 1 species